rnacentral:rRNA from 1 species
CGCCAUUUAAAGUGGUACGCGAGCUGGGUUUAGAACGUCGUGAGACAGUUCGGUCCCUAUCUGCCGUGGGCGCUGGAGAACUGAGGGGGGCUGCUCCUAGUACGAGAGGACCGGAGUGGACGCAUCACUGGUGUUCGGGUUGUCAUGCCAAUGGCACUGCCCGGUAGCUAAAUGCGGAAGAGAUAAGUGCUGAAAGCAUCUAAGCACGAAACUUGCCCCGAGAUGAGUUCUCCCUGACUCCUUGAGAGUCCUGAAGGAACGUUGAAGACGACGACGUUGAUAGGCCGGGUGUGUAAGCGCAGCGAUGCGUUGAGCUAACCGGUACUAAUGAACCGUGAGGCUUAACCUUACAACGCCGAAG